AUUAAGCCUCAUUAGGUAGUAGAUUUGAUCCAAACCAAUAAAACUUGGCGGUUAUGAAUACUUAGAGAAACUCGCUUUAUAAUCGUCAAUCCUCGCUAAAUUUCGCUUAAAUUACAGCCUUUAUACCGCCGUUUCAGAUAUAAUUAAAAAAUAAUAUUUAAAUCUAAACAAGAAAAAAUCAGGUCAAGGUGAAGCCAUAUAUAAGAAAAAGUAAGUUACAAUAAAGACAAUUUAAGGAGUAUAAAUAAAAAUCGAUAGGAAAGAGAAUCUAAAAACACAUGGAAGUUAAAAACCUCCAUCGAAACCUUAAUCAUAACGC
rnacentral:rRNA from 1 species